CAGAGGUUACUGCUAUCGAGRUUSGACUAAGCCAUGCGAGUUGAAUGUUCUUCGUGAACAUGGCGGACUGCUCAGUAACACGUGGACAACCUACCCUUGGGUCCGGCAUAAUCCUGGGAAACUGGGAAUAAUUCCGGAUAGGUCACCGAUGCUGGAAUGCGCGGUGGCCGAAAGCUCCGGCGCCCGAGGAUGGGUCUGCGGCCUAUCAGGGUUGUAGUGGGUGUAACGUACCUACUAGCCUACGACGGGUACGGGUUGUGAGAGCAAGAGCCCGGAGAUGGAUUCUGAGACACGAAUCCAGGCCCUACGGGGUGCAGCAGGCGCGAAAACUUUACAAUGCGGGAAACCGUGAUAAGGGGAUCUCGAGUGCCAGCAUAUAAUGUUGGCUGUCCAGAUGCCUAAAAAGCAUCUGUUAGCAAGGGCCGGGCAAGACCGGUGCCAGCCGCCGCGGUAACACCGGCGGCCCGAGUGGUAACCGCUAUUAUUGGGUCUAAAGGGUCUGUAGCCGGCCAGGUAAGUCCCUUGGGAAAUCUGGCAGCUCAACUGUCAGGCUGCUAGGGGAUACUGUUUGGCUUGGGACCGGGAGAGGUGAGAGGUACCUUGGGGGUAGGGGUGAAAUCUUGUGAUCCUCGAGGGACCACCAGUGGCGAAGGCGUCUCACCAGAACGGGUCCGACGGUAAGGGACGAAAGCUAGGGGCACGAACCGGAUUAGAUACCCGGGUAGUCCUAGCCGUAAACGAUGCUCGCUAGGUGUCAGUCACGGUGCGACCGUGAUUGGUGCCGUAGGGAAGCCGUGAAGCGAGCCACCUGGGAAGUAUGGCCGCAAGGCUGAAACUUAAAGGAAUUGGCGGGGGAGCACUACAWCSGGUGGAGCCUGCGGUUUAUUG
rnacentral:rRNA from 1 species